CCCUGGUUAGCUCAGUUGGUAGAGCGCUCCACUUGUACCGGAGAGAUCCCGGGUUCAAUACCCGGACCAGGCG
rnacentral:tRNA from 1 species